CAACUUUCUCAGCAUAUUUGGUGUUGAUGGCGGGUUGUUCGCUAUAGGCAACAACCCGCCAUCAAUACCAAAAUUGCUGAGAAAGUUG
rnacentral:pre_miRNA from 1 species